GCCCGGCUGGCUCAGUCGGUAGAGCAUGCAACUCUCGAUCUCGAGGUUGUGAGUUCAAGCCCCGCGUUGGGCA
rnacentral:tRNA from 1 species